rnacentral:snRNA from 1 species
AAAUAUAAGGACAAUGAUUGCCAUGAUUGAUUUGAUAAAACUAGACGGUUAGCUUGGGGCCUACUUUUUCUUUUUUGUUCUAUGUGUGUCUCUCCUGAAGUUUAAUAGCCUGCCCUUCUCAGAUAGAUGUGAUUUGAUUUUGGGGAAAGGAUAUAUGACAUAGCUCUGUUUCCCUACUAGAACUUGCAAACAAACUUUCAGUUUUCAUUGGAAUGAUGUUGGUGACUACAGAAAGAGAUAUAGUUAUCACAUAAGGAAGCUACAUGACUCACUCU